UAGUUGGUAAGGUAACGGCUUACCAAGGCGACGAUCAGUAGCCGACCUGAGAGGGUGAUCGGCCACAUUGGAACUGAGACACGGUCCAAACUCCUACGGGAGGCAGCAGUGGGGAAUAUUGCACAAUGGGCGAAAGCCUGAUGCAGCAACGCCGCGUGAGUGAUGAAGGCCUUCGGGGCGUAAAACUCUGUCCUCAAGGAAGAUAAUGACGGUACUUGAGGAGGAAGCCCCGGCUAACUACGUGCCAGCAGCCGCGGUAAUACGUAGGGGGCUAGCGUUAUCCGGAUUUACUUGGCGUAAAGGGUGCGUAGGCUGUCUUUCAAGUCAGGAGUGAAAGGCUACGGCUCAACCGUAGUAAGCUCUUGAAACUGUGAGACUUGAGUGCAGGAGAGGAGAGUGGAAUUCCUAGUGUAGCGGUGAAAUGCGUAGAUAUUAGGAGGAACACCAGUUGCGAAGGCGGCUCUCUGGACUGU
rnacentral:rRNA from 1 species